UACGUAGGGUCCGAGCGUUGUCCGGAUUUAUUGGGCGUAAAGAGCUCGUAGGCGGUUUGUUGCGUCGGCUGUGAAAUCCCGAGGCUCAACCUCGGGUCUGCAGUCGAUACGAGCAAACUAGAGUGUUGCAGGGGAGACUGGAAUUCCUGGUGUAGCGGUGAAAUGCGCAGAUAUCAGGAGGAACACCGGUGGCGAAGGCGGGUCUCUGGGCAACAACUGACGCUGAGGAGCGAAAGCGUGGGGAGCGAACAGG
rnacentral:rRNA from 1 species